CUGAUAUACUUCGCUGGUCAUUGGGGAGUAGCCGAUCUUCGCACUGAAGAUGCUUACGUCAACACACUUGGCCCACAGGCCAUGGCGUAAGCGGUUCACACGCUUGGCAAGACCUUUGACCACAACGCCUCCGUAUUAAGGCUGGGGAUGCGUCGUGGUCAAUUGUGUCUAAUCCAGCCUGAGAAUCGU
rnacentral:sRNA from 17 species